UUGGUGGCGACCGGCGCACGGGUGAGUAACGCGUAUGCAACCCAUCUAUCAGAGGGGAAUAACCCGGCGAAAGUCGGACUAAUACCGCAUAAAACAGGGACACCGCAUGGUGAUAUUUGUUAAAGAAAUUCGCUGAUAGAUGGGCAUGCGUUCCAUUAGGUAGUUGGUGAGGUAACGGCUCACCAAGCCGACGAUGGAUAGGGGAACUGAGAGGUUGGUUCCCCACACUGGUACUGAGACACGGACCAGACUCCUACGGGAGGCAGCAGUGAGGAAUAUUGGUCAAUGGGCGAGAGCCUGAACCAGCCAAGUCGCGUGAAGGAAGAAGGAUCUAUGGUUCGUAAACUUCUUUUGCAGGGGAAUAAAGUGCAGGACGUGUCCUGUUUUGUAUGUACCCUGAGAAUAAGGAUCGGCUAACUCCGUGCCAGCAGCCGCGGUAAUACGGAGGAUCCGAGCGUUAUCCGGAUUUAUUGGGUUUAAAGGGUGCGUAGGUGGUUUGAUAAGUCAGCGGUGAAAGUUUGCAGCUUAACUGUAAAAAUGCCGUUGAAACUGUCGGACUUGAGUGUAAAUGAGGUAGGCGGAAUGCGUGGUGUAGCGGUGAAAUGCUUAGAUAUCACGAAGAACUCCGAUUG
rnacentral:rRNA from 1 species